rnacentral:rRNA from 1 species
GCCCUCUUCGGAGGGAGCGGCGGACGGGUUAGUAACGCGUGGGAACGUGCCUCUCUCUACGGAACAGCCCAGGGAAACUUGGAUUAAUACCGUAUACGCCCCUGGGGGGUUAAACCUUGGGGGGAAAGAUUUAUCGGAGAGAGAUCGGCCCGCGUUGGAUUAGGUAGUUGGUGGGGUAAUGGCCUACCAAGCCUACGAUCCAUAGCUGGUUUGAGAGGAUGAUCAGCAACACUGGGACUGAGACACGGCCCAG